UGGGAGCAUCAUCAAUGGCAGCAGUGGGUCCCCUGUGCCUUCUGUCCCUGAGCAGCAGACUGCACUGCUCCCACCCUCCUGAGGCCAGUUAUAAACAUCUUGAGAGCAAGGACUAAAUCUUACUUAUCUUUAUUAAGAACUAACAGUGGAACACACGGAAAAUCCAUGGAUAUACUGUCAGACUGUCACCAAAUAUACAUUCAACAUUUUUCUUACUUGUGAGACUGAUUUUGAGAAAAUUUGCUAUCACAGAAUCACUAAACUUUAGAGCAGGUAAAGACUCCUGCAAUGAUUUUAUUUACUUGCUAUAUUUUACCAAUAAGAAAACCGAGGCAUAGAGAAGUUGAGACUUUCUACACACCAGUGCCUAGUCUUUCAUGAUGCUUAUGCCCAACCCUGAGUCCUUUCCUCUAUAUAAUGCUGCCUCAUUACAUUUCUGAAAGACGGAGAAGUUUUAUAACAACAAGAUGAAAGACUUUGGAAGUUU
rnacentral:lncRNA from 1 species